UACGUAGGGGGCGAGCGUUGUCCGGAAUUAUUGGGCGUAAAGAGCGUGUAGGCGGUUCGGUAAGUCUGCCGUGAAAACCUGAGGCUCAACCUCGGGCGUGCGGUGGAUACUGCCGGGCUAGAGGACGGUAGAGGCGAGUGGAAUUCCCGGUGUAGCGGUGAAAUGCGCAGAUAUCAGGAAGAACACCUAUGGCGAAGGCAGCUCUCUGGGACGGUACUGACGCUGAGACGCGAAAGCGUGGGGAGCGAACAGG
rnacentral:rRNA from 1 species